CAGUCGCCGCGGGAACACGUAGGGUGCAAGCGUUAAUCGGAAUUACUGGGCGUAAAGCGUGCGCAGGCGGUUUGUUAAGACAGAUGUGAAAUCCCCGGGCUCAACCUGGGAACUGCAUUUGUGACUGGCAAGCUAGAGUCUGGCAGAGGGGGGUGGAAUUCCGCGUGUAGCAGUGAAAUGCGUAGAUAUGCGGAGGAACACCGAUGGCGAAGGCAGCCCCCUGGGCCAACACUGACGCUCAUGCACGAAAGCGUGGGGAGCAAACAGGAUUAGAUACCCCAGUAGUCCCUGUCUCUUAUAC
rnacentral:rRNA from 1 species